AGUGAACGCUGGCGGUAGGCCUAGCACAUGCAAGUCGAACGGCAGCACAGUAAGAGCUUGCUCUUACGGGUGGCGAGUGGCGGACGGGUGAGGAAUACAUCGGAAUCUACUUUUUCGUGGGGGAUAACGUAGGGAAACUUAUGCUAAUACCGCAUACGACCUACGGGUGAAAGCAGGGGAUCUUCGGACCUUUCGCGAUUGAAUGAGCCGGUGUCGGAUUAGCUAGUUGGCGGGGUAAAGGCCCACCAAGGCGACGAUCCGUAGCUGGUCUGAGAGGAUGAUCAGCCACACUGGAACUGAGACACGGUCCAGACUCCUACGGGAGGCAGCAGUAGGGAAUAUUGGACAAUGGGCGCAAGCCUGAUCCAGCCAUACCGCGUGGGUGAAGAAGGCCUUCGGGUUGUAAAGCCCUUUUGUUGGGAAAGAAAAGCAGCAGGUUAAUACCCCGCUGUUCUGACGGUACCCAAAGAAUAAGCACCGGCUAACUUCGUG
rnacentral:rRNA from 1 species